UACGGAGGGGGUUAGCGUUGUUCGGAAUUACUGGGCGUAAAGCGCGCGUAGGCGGACCAGAAAGUUGGGGGCGAAAUCCCGGGGCUCAACCCCGGAACGGCCUCCAAAACUCCUGGUCUUGAGUUCGAGAGAGGUGAGUGGAAUUCCGAGUGUAGAGGUGAAAUUCGUAGAUAUUCGGAGGAACACCAGUGGCGAAGGCGGCUCACUGGCUCGAUACUGACGCUGAGGUACGAAAGUGUGGGGAGCAAACAGG
rnacentral:rRNA from 1 species